rnacentral:ribozyme from 1 species
CAAAUGUACAUUCCGCCCCAGACAAAGAAAGAAAGAAAGAAAGAAAAAAAGAAAG